ACCCUUAAUAUGCUCACCUCUUUUUCCCUCCCUCAGCACUCACUCCCUUCCAUCCUUAGCCUUGCCGCGCACCUCUCAACACCUUACUCCUCUCUCUUAUCCCUCCUCUCUCUCCUCUUCCUUCCCCUCCUCCGCCUUCUCCACAUCAUACAGACGACCCACUCCUCCCUCCAUCGCUUCCCCCUCCCCCAUCACUGGCGCCGCGUGUAUCAGUCUCAGUUUACAGUUUACUCGUAGGUGCAGUGGGUGCCUCGCCGUGUUACGAGUGAUGUGCUGGCCAGAGUUUGGGGAGUCUGAGCGGGCGUGGCGGGGGUGGGCGGCUCUGAGGGGGCGUGUGGAAGUGGCUGUCAAACGCGGCGCCGCUGAGGCCCCGCCCCGCCCCGCUACGCCACGCCCCGGCCCAGCCACUCAGCAUGCAGACCGGCAACCGAGCAGACGGCGUGGAAGGCGACAUGAUGAUGGCGCUACUCAAUGAAGAAGCGUUAGCGAGGUGCAAGUGGAGGCCGCGGCUUCUCUUGGUGCUCGAGACGGCAGCGAGGCGUCGGCUUAGUUGGAUUAAUACGUUGUUGGCAAGUUGAUGAGAAAUACUGCGUUUGUUGAGGUGGUG